rnacentral:lncRNA from 1 species
GGAUGAAGAAUGUUUCCAUUGUGUUCCUCAGGAAGGUUAAAUAUAUUGUAUUAAUGUUGGUUAGAAUGGAGAACAUCGCAACUGUUCAGAGUUAUUUAUACUUAGUAUUUUUUUCCAUUGAUUUUUUGAGUACAAAAUUGGGUAAGUCUCUUCCUUUGAUGCUGAUAGAGCCACAAAUUCAUUUUCUGAUCAGUGAAUUGAGACUGGAAAUAUGGUGUUACAUUUCUGAGCUGCGAAUUUCUUGUUGAUUCAAAGGUCAAAGAACAUCUUUGUUUCCCUCUGCACUGAAGCAUGCCUCUAAGAAUUGAGAUUGUGUCAACUUCAUUAGCUUGAAUUCUAGGGCAUCAUGAUGAAGAGCUCUUCUUCAAGAGUUACAGGAUCAGAAAGGGAAGAAAAGAACCUUUAUUCACUUUACUGGAGCACUGAAACUUUCAGUAUGUUUGUCAUUUUAACACAAUGUCCAUCUGAGUGACAAUGUCUCUUGUUUGCUUCAUAACUAUGUUGUACUGACAAAAAUCUUCUGCUAGUAGUAUAGAGUUUGUUAUCUUUUAUGUUUCUUUUGAGAAACAAUAGUUCUAGUUGCUCUAUUCCAAAAUGUUGAAAUGUCACAACAAGGUUACAAUGAAAAUUAGAGGAAGAAAGCAAAAGAGAAUAAAGGAGAGGGGGAAGGGAGCAAAGAGGAGGAAUAGCGAAGGAGGAGGAGGAGGAGAAGGAGGAAGAGAAGAAGGCAGAGAAAGUAGACAAGCAGAAGGAAGAAAAAGAAUAGCAGCAGCAGCCUAAUGAAACUUUAUCACAGAAAACAAUUUAACCUGAAUUGCAGAACUGUGUGAAUGUCAGAGAAAAAUAAGAUUUUAUUAAUAUUAUCACUAUUAUUAUUAUGAUCAUUAUUAUUAUUAGCCAGAAACAGCUUUAAAAUGGUUAAAGAAAUACAAGUACAUUUGAUUCUCAUAUUAAGGAUAAUAUGCAAUGUGAGUUCUUAAAAUCUUGUCAUACUCCAAAAGAAGAUUUAGCAGUGCUAAGCAUAAACAUCUGAAUAAUUCAUCGCCAGAUACAAACUAAUUCUCUUUUGAAAUGUAAAAUAUCCACAUUCAAAGUGAAGACUAUAGCUAUGGUUUCAAAUCUGUUUCUUCAAAAUAGUUGAAUAAAAUAUUGUGGUAAGUCAUCCUGCAAGCCACUACAUGCUCCUUGAAGGCCUGCCUUUCAUAAAGCUAUAUUGAGUGUUUCUCAAGAAAAUAUCAUUGUAAACUUUCAGGAAGGUAAACUUUUCAUUAUUAGGCUAAAAUUGUAGAACUUGCUUUAUUUAUAUUAUUUCCCAUUUCUGCACACUCUCAAGUGAAUAUGUGUAGAAUGGGCUUUUGUGACAAGCCUGAGGUAUGGGAAGAGGAUUUCAGGCAAAAAUGUCAAUCAGAGUUAUUUUUGAUUUACGUUGAAAUUUCUCUAAGUACCUAUGCACUACAUAGGAAACAUAAGUUCAGCCUUGUUGAAUGUUCAUUUGUGAAGAUUCAAACUCGAUUCUAUUUAAAUCCACAGUCUGAGCACAGAGCAGGCCAAACAUACUUCCUUAAACCAGUCUGUGGUGCAAAAGGGGUAGAAACCAUCAAAGCCAAGAGAUAAGCAUGUAUUGCUUAAAGGUUGAUGUCUGCUUUCCAAGAUAAGGUUUUUGUGAGUGUGGCCUUCUAGGGACCUAAGUAGAAAGCAACUCCACAGUUAAGUCCUGAUAUUUUUGAAGAACUUUACAAUCAGACCUUUACAAAAUGUGAGAGAGACAAAACUUUCCAUCUCCUGUACCAGUAACCACCCCUCUCCUGACAACUGUAACAGGUUUGCUAUUUUCAGUAUCUCUUUGCUAUUUUCAGUAUCCAGUUCAAAAAACAUUGAAGCAAAAUUAAUGUAUGAUACAUUACUGAUAGAGAAGGAGCAGAGAAAAUUUUCUGCCAGUCAUUCCUUUGUGGACGGUGAGGGUUAAUUUUCUUUUGACACUGUAUUUGUAGAAGUCCAUGAGACUUGUAAAAUAAAAACAGUUUGGAUAGUUAUUUUCUUUCUUAGAACACAAGAAAGGAAGCACCAGUACUUUGUAUUAUUUAUUUUAAUUAUUUAAAUUAAUAAGAUUUGAAAGCUGAAGGCCCCAAAAGAACCUUUGAUCUUCUAACCCAGCAACCAGCCCUUCAAUCCCAUGCUUAAGAGGUUAUGUAUAUUACACCUCCUUUAGGUAAUGCACACUAUGGGCAUAGGGCUAAAAUCCAUUAUGAUCAGAAUGGUGGAGCAAUGGAACAGCAGCUGGGUCCUCCAUGGUACUUUUGUAACUGUGAGCUUCAUCUAGAGAUCUGAGGCCCUCACAGUCUUUCACAGUGUAGCAUGAGGACAGUGGUGUCAGAUUCCAGCUGUGUAAGGCUGAUAUGCUGCUAAACUUGUCUCAACAAAACCCCUUUCUUAUAUGAAAUGAAAAUGAAACAACAAUCAAGGUCUUCAACAGUGCCAGGACUUAAGUGUGGAGUCACCUCCAACUUCUAGGCUGUGCCCCUACCAUCCUUCCUCGACCUACAAUUCUCCCAACCAUUCUCCCAAGGAAAGAGUCUGGAAAUGCUAAAAAAAAUUCAUAGGUAGCACAGGACUAAGGAAAGCAGUAUGGAAAGCUGUAGCUUUGUGUCAAAAUGGAAGGAGAUAAAGCAGAUGAGUUGAAAAACAAGCAAGCCCCAAGUAAGGAGUAGCAGCCCCUAUAGAGAAAGAAUCUGAUGACCAUACCUAAACUUGAUGCCACCAUUCUUAAUC